rnacentral:rRNA from 1 species
CAAUAGCGUAUAUUAAAGUUGUUGCAGUUAAAAAGCUCGUAGUUGGAUUUCGGGACGGGCCAGUUGGUCCGCCGCAAGGUGUGUUACUGACUGGUCUGUUCUUCUUCGCAAAGACUGCGUGUGCUCUUCGUUGAGUGUGCGUAGGAUUUACGACGUUUACUUUGAAAAAAUUAGAGUGUUCAAAGCAGGCUAUCGCUUGAAUACAUGAGCAUGGAAUAAUGGAAUAGGACUUUGGUCCUAUUUUGUUGGUUUCUAGGACCGAAGUAAUGAUUAAGAGGGACAAUUGGGGGCAUCCGUAUUUCGUUGUCAGAGGUGAAAUUCUUGGAUUUACGAAAGACGAACAACUGCGAAAGCACUUGCCAAGAGUGUUUUCGUUAA